rnacentral:snRNA from 1 species
GUGCUUGCUUCAGCAGCACAUAUACAGAUGUCAGAACAACACAGAGAUUAGUGUGGCCCCUGAACAAGGAUGACAAAUUCAUGAAGCAAUCCAUAUUUAA